rnacentral:pre_miRNA from 1 species
ACAUGAAAUGGAAGAAACGAGGACCUAAGAGCAGUUGGCAUGGGAACUUGAUGGACGGCUAAAUCUCUACCACUUCUUGGUCAAUGUAGGAAGAUUCUUUGGUUGAGUUUUCUUGAUGCCUCCCAUGCCUAUUUUUCUUUGGUGUUCCUUUCUUUUCCAUUUGGGU